AAGACUAUAUUUUCAGGGAUCAUUUCUAUAGUAUCUAACUAAAGAAAUGUAUUCAAAAGUGAUCACCUGAGGUUACAACGGCUCAGCGGU